rnacentral:rRNA from 1 species
UACAGAGGGUGCGAGCGUUAAUCGGAAUUACUGGGCGUAAAGGGUGCGUAGGUGGCGAGGUAAGUCGGAUGUGAAAGCUCGGAGCUCAACUCCGAAAUGGCAUUGGAAACUACCUUGCUCGAGGGUUGGAGGGGGGACUGGAAUUCUCGGUGUAGCAGUGAAAUGCGUAGAUAUCGAGAGGAACACCAGUGGCGAAGGCGAGUCCCUGGACAACUCCUGACACUGAGGCACGAAAGCUAGGGGAGCAAACAGG